rnacentral:snRNA from 1 species
GGUUGAUUGCAAUCUGGCUAUUACUUCUGGUACCCCAGUGAUUACCAGGGUUGAUGUGGCUGAUCAGGCUGGCUAACUCAAUGUCCCCUUCUUCCCUCAACACUCCCUGUGUGACCCUCCUGUAGCUGUAUACUUGGUGGAAGAGGAUGACCUUCCCUGAAUAGAGAAGGACUGAUCUUCCUGCUAGAACCUCCAAACAAGCUCUCAAAAGAGCAAGGUUAUUCUGGCAACUUAAAUUAAGUUCAAAGUAUAUCUCAGACUAAGAAAUAUCUCUU